UACGUAGGGUGCGAGCGUUGUCCGGAAUUAUUGGGCGUAAAGAGCUCGUAGGCGGUCUGUCGCGUCGAAUGUGAAAACCCGGGGCUCAACUCCGGGCUUGCAUUCGAUACGGGCAGGCUAGAGUUCGGUAGGGGAGUCUGGAAUUCCUGGUGUAGCGGUGAAAUGCGUCAGAUAUCAGGAGGAACACCGGUGGUGUAAAGCGGGACUUCUGGGCCGAUAACUGACGCUGAGGACGAAAGCGUGGGUAGCAAACAGG
rnacentral:rRNA from 1 species